UACGGAGGAUGCGAGCGUUAUCCGGAAUUAUUGGGUUUAAAGGGUCCGCAGGCGGACAGGUAAGUCAGUAGUGAAAAACCUGGGCUUAACCCCGGUCGUGCUACAGAAACUGCCUGACUAGAGAAAGUUUGGCGUUGGCGGAAUAUGUCAUGUAGCGGUGAAAUGCAUAGAUAUGACAUAGAACACCGAUUGCGAAGGCAGCUUACUACACGAUCAUUGACGCUGAGGCACGAAAGCGUGGGGAGCAAACAGG
rnacentral:rRNA from 1 species